UAACAAGGUUUCCGUAGGUGAACCUGCGGAAGGAUCAUUAUUGAAUUCCAAUUGGGUCAGGUUGUGCUGGCUGAAAAGCAAGUGCACGCCUGCUCAUAAGCAUUCAAACCUCUGUGCACCUUUCAUAGAAUAGCUUGUAGAUUGGGUGACCUGUGUCACUUGGUUUGCAGCUGCUCUGUGUUUUUACAAACUUAUAAAUUAGUUCAGAAUGUUUAUUGUGUAAAUACACAUUUUUAUACAACUUUCAGCAACGGAUCUCUUGGCUCUCGCAUCGAUGAAGAACGCAGCGAAAUGCGAUAAGUAAUGUGAAUUGCAGAAUUCAGUGAAUCAUCGAAUCUUUGAACGCACCUUGCGCUCCUUGGUAUUCCGAGGAGCAUGCCUGUUUGAGUGUCAUGGUAUUCUCAAUUCUCUAGGUCUUUUGUAAGACUCUGGUGAUAUUGGACUUGGAGGCUAUUGCUGGAACCUUGCAGGUACCUGCUCCUCUCAAAUGUAUCAGUAUGAAUGUUCACUUCAUGCUCAGUGUGAUAAUUAUCUGCACUGUGUCUGAGUGUCAUAAAUUCAUGCUUCAAACUGUCGUCAAGACAAUUCAUUUGACUUCUGACCUCAAAUCAGGUAGGACUACCCGCUGAACUUAAGCAUAUCAUGAACGGG
rnacentral:rRNA from 1 species